rnacentral:rRNA from 1 species
CCUACGGGAGGCAGCAGUGAGGAAUAUUGGUCAAUGGACGAGAGUCUGAACCAGCCAAGUAGCGUGAAGGAUGACUGCCCUAUGGGUUGUAAACUUCUUUUAUAUGGGAAUAAACUGUUCCACGUGUGGGAUUUUGUAUGUACCAUAUGAAUAAGGAUCGGCUAACUCCGUGCCAGCAGCCGCGGUAAUACGGAGAAUCCGAGCGUUAUCCGGAUUUAUUGGGGUUAAAGGGAGCGUAGGUGGAUUGUUAAGUCAGUUGUGAAAGUUUGCGGCUCAACCGUAAAAUUGCAGUUGAAACUGGCAGUCUUGAGUACAGUAGAGGUGGGCGGAAUUCGUGGUGUAGCGGUGAAAUGCUUAGAUAUCACGAAGAACUCCGAUUGCGAAGGCAGUUCACUGGACUGCAACUGACACUGAGGCUCGAAAGUGUGGGUAUCAAACAGGAUUAGAUACCCCUGUAGUC